rnacentral:lncRNA from 1 species
GGGGCAUGGAGAUAUAAUAGACACAAAACUAAGUGUCUAGAUUAGAGCAAAGAAAAGAAGAAGAGGGUCUUCUUCUAGGAUUGCUGAGUUCACCUUUUUUCUUCCUCCAUCUGUGAGUUUUCUGAGAGUAUCUCACAUCUAAAACUCCUUCUCCUACUUCUUAUCUUUAAAAGAGUUCAAAUCAAGAAGAAGAAGACAUC